rnacentral:rRNA from 1 species
AGCCUGAUGCAGCCAUGCCGCGUGUGUGAAGAAGGCCUUCGGGUUGUAAAGCACUUUCAGCAGUGAGGAAGGCGGGUACGUUAAUAGCGUGCUCGUUUGACGUUAGCUGCAGAAGAAGCACCGGCUAACUCCGUGCCAGCAGCCGCGGUAAUACGGAGGGUGCGAGCGUUAAUCGGAAUUACUGGGCGUAAAGCGCAUGCAGGUGGUUCGUUAAGUCAGAUGUGAAAGCCCGGGGCUCAACCUCGGAACUGCAUUUGAAACUGGCGGACUAGAGUACUGUAGAGGGGGGUAGAAUUUCAGGUGUAGCGGUGAAAUGCGUAGAGAUCUGAAGGAAUACCGGUGGCGAAGGCGGCCCCCUGGACAGAUACUGACACUCAGAUGCGAAAGCGUGGGGAGCAAACAGGAUUAGAUACCCUGGUAGUCCACGCCGUAAACGAUGUCUACUUGGAGUUGUGGCCUUGAGCCGUGGCUUUCGGAGCUAACGCGUUAAGUAGACCGCCUGGG